rnacentral:lncRNA from 1 species
CCAAUCAAAGAUGCUGAGAGUAAGCGUAAGCUCACCCGGAAGCUCGAAGAGCUUCCCUUCAUUCGCUUCGCGGGAGCCGCACAGCACAUAGCUGGAAGUCAGAGGGCCCAUACUACCUGCCUAACCCUUCGCUCCGAGGGACCGUAGAUCGGAAAGCGCCUUCUGCACAUCACAUAGCUGAAGUCAGAGGGCCCACACUACCUGCCUAGCCCUUUGCUUCGAGGGACUGUAGAUCGGAAAGCGCCUUCUAAACCACCCCAUUCAUCCAAAAGAGAAGGGAAGGGGUUUAUGUAUUUGCAUGACCCUUACAGAUUUAACCGUAUCUAUACCCGGAGCCACUCCCCUAGCGGUCCUGCCACCACGCCGCAGAACGGGAGCUCGUGUGGAACCUUUUAUUGUGGCAUAACAGCGGCAGAACGUAACAAUAUAUUACGGCCGCCUAACAUAGGGGACUGAGGUACGGUAAACUCGGCCAAAAUAUAAGACCCGAAGGGCCGGCGCGCACAAUCUUGUCCUAUCUGAGUCCGAAUUUACCCCUCGCAAUUCGGACAGCCAUCCGUAGCAUCAUAAGGAGGACCCCCCUUUCGAGGUACAAAAAGAGUACGGUACAUAGGAGGUUGGUCUUUCUCAACGUGGUGUAUAGCACGAAAAACCUUUCGAUACAAGAUAGGGCCGUUCACAUGAAAGAAAAAAAUGAAUCCUUUCUUAUCUUCUUUCCCGAGAGGGAAAGAGAAAGAGGGUCUUAUGGAGGGAGGGGGGAGGGGAUACAAGAUAGGGUCGUUCGAAUUAAAGAAAAAAAUGAAUCCUUUCUUAUCUUCUUUCCCGAAAUGGAAAGAGAAAGAGGGUCUUAUGGGGGGAGGGGGGAGGGGAAAGGCUUGGGCCUACCUAUCCCGAUAGGACCCCAUAAAAGAACGGGAGCUGUUGAGAGGUUCCAUACUUCCGAGACAAAGGACAACACUUCUGUACGUGAUCGUAGUAUGUCAUGUCGUCUUGUCCCAACUUCAUCGAAGAGUACCUAUGCAUUAUGUUUCGGUUCAGUGAUAAGGAAGAUAGCAUUGGGGUGGGGGUCUACGAUAGAUUACUAAAGUAUGACCGGGGGAGAUACAUGCUAACUAUGGGUAGGAAGCAGGAACCAUUAUGUAAAAAAUUUCGGGGGGUUACAGAUCUCUUAUACUACCAUCGAUCAACAGAGCGGAACGACCAGAAAAAGAAGUUAAGUUAGAAAGCCGUAUGAUAGGUGGUAACUAUCUUGUACGGUUCGGGGGGUAAUCGGCGUACUCCGAUCAGUAGGGGGGGAAUCUUUGGCUCUAUCGAACAUACAUGGAAUUGGAG